UGGGGAAUAUUGCACAAUGGGCGCAAGCCUGAUGCAGCAACGCCGCGUGAACGAUGAAGGUCUUCGGAUCGUAAAGUUCUGUUGCAGGGGAAGAUAAUGACGGUACCCUGUGAGGAAGCCCCGGCUAACUACGUGCCAGCAGCCGCGGUAAUACGUAGGGGGCUAGCGUUAUCCGGAUUUACUGGGCGUAAAGGGUGCGUAGGUGGUCUUUCAAGUCGGUGGUUAAAGGCUACGGCUCAACCGUAGUUAGCCUCCGAAACUGGAAGACUUGAGUGCAGGAGAGGAAAGUGGAAUUCCCAGUGUAGCGCUGAAAUGCGUAGAUAUUGGGAGGAACACCAGUAGCGAAGGCGGCUUUCUGGACUGCAACUGACACUGAGGCACGAAAGCGUGGGUAGCAAACAGG
rnacentral:rRNA from 1 species